AUGGAUUGCAUUGGGGCAAUAGAUGGUACUCAUGUCACUACCAGAGUGCCGAGGUCACAAUCUGCAGCAUAUAGAGGGAGGAAGCACUACACAAGCCAGAAUGUGCUUGUUGUUAUUGACUUCAAUCUGAAGUUCACAUAUGCGCUGGUUGGCUGGGAAGGAUCAGCACAUGAUGCUAACAUCCUAAGUGACAACAUGUGUAGACCUGAUGGAGUCAACAUACUAGAUGGCAGGUUCUACCUAGGAGAUGUUGGCUAUGCAUGUCGGUCAGGUGUUCUUCCACCCUUCAGGAAAACCAAGUACCAUCUGAACGAGUUCUCUGAUGAACUUGUGCCGAAGGACGAAGAUGUGAUGCCGCCUGAUGUGAUCGGCACCGGCCAUGGUGUGAAGGCAUUUGACAACUAA
rnacentral:rRNA from 1 species